CCAAAGUUGUCUCAAUAUGAUAAAAUCUCAACUGUUAACUUUAGCCUAAAAUGUGCACAGCGUUUAAGUUUAACAUGCUAACACACUAUAAUUAACAUCACAUAUGAUAACUAAAUUAGGCCCAUGCUUUACCUUGUUCUAAUAUUCAGUUUUUAACCAAAAAGUUCUUUUAGAACUUUUAUCGAACACUUGGUAGGCAUAGUUUCAGGCUAUCAGUUUCACAACCACUUGUUUAUGUCACCAACCCAUUUCAUUCUCCUUAUAUCUCCUCAGCCCAACCUAAACCCCUUUGUUCUAACUCAGCCCACAGCAGUCAAAUACACCGCAAAGUUCAUAUCUAAUCAACGAAUUAGUAGCUAGUUAGUUCAUGCUACCAUUAUACAAUCACAUUAGAUUCAAAUUGAUGCAAUAUAAACUGAACAUAGACUUCAAACAUAGCACAGUUGCUUAGAACAUUAGUUAGCUAGUCCUUUUGUUUUGAUUUCCUUCUUUAGUCCUUAAUCUCCAAUGUCCUCUGCUAUAAUUGUGUUCUCCUUUAAUUUACUCAAGCGUUUGCCCCAGCACAAUCAUGAACUUCACUCAUCCAGGCUCUAGCUAAGUGAGGAAAUCAGGAUUUUCUUAUGAGAGAGUUUGACGGCUGAACAGGGAGAUAAGAAGAGUAACCUUGCCUUUAUAUAAACUCAAUCCUUACUCCUCACGAAUUGUACCUGCUCUCCCAUUAAUAGGCAUGCUGAGUUUGCAAAGCUAUCCUAACACAUUCAUGCCAGCUCCUGCUAAUACCACUUGAAGUUGAAGGUUACUCCUUCAAUUACAACUUCCCAGCUCAUGCUAAUCCUUUUUUAAUUGCUAAGUUUUAAUCUAACGCUGUGUUUGGUUAGAAUAACCAAUUAUCUCCCUUUCCGUACAUAUCACAUAGCAAAAACUGCAUUUUAACUAAACUGAAUACACU
rnacentral:lncRNA from 1 species